rnacentral:rRNA from 1 species
CGAACGCUGGCGGCGUGCUUAACACAUGCACGUCGACCGGGCCUUGUCCCCUUUUUUUUUGGGGGUGGGGUUAGUGGCGAACGGGUGAGUAACACGUGAGUAACCUGCCCCUCACUUCUGGAUAACCGCUUGAAAGGGUGGCUAAUACGGGGUGUUCUGGCCUGCUCGCAUGGGUGGGUUUGGAAAGAUUCGACCGGUUUUGGUUGUUUUGGUGGGGGAUGGGCUCGCGGCCUAUCAGCUUGUUGGUGGGGUGAUGGCCUGCCAAGGCUUUGACGGGUAGCCGGCCUGAGAGGGUGGGCGGUCACACUGGGACUGAGACACGGCCCAGACUCCUACGGGAGGCAGCAGUGGGGAAUAUUGCACAAUGGGCGCAAGCCUGAUGCAGCGACGCCGCGUGAGGGAUGGAGGCCGUCGGGUUGUGAACCUCUUUCGCCAGUGAAGAAGGUCCUGCUCUUUGUGGUGGGGUUGACGGUAGCUGGGUUAAUGAAGCGCCGGCUAACUACGUG